rnacentral:tRNA from 1 species
GGCGUAGUCUAACCGGGGAUGUGACGCUAAGUUAUUGAUUUAAAAGGAUUUAAGUGUCACAAAUCAACGAUAGCGAAUUCAAAUAUUUGGGGAUUGAAAAUCCUUGUGUCGGUGGUUCGAUUCCGCCCCAGGCCACCA